GAUAAACGCUGGCGGCGCACAUAAGACAUGCAAGUCGAACGGAAGCCGUUUUGUUGGAAGUGAAGAUUUAUCGGAACGGAAUUCAAAACAAUGACUUUAGUGGCGGACUGGUGAGUAACGCGUGAGCAACCUGCCUAUUAGAGGGGAAUAACAGUGAGAAAUCACUGCUAAUACCGCAUAAGCUAGUAAUGCUGCAUGGCAUAGCUAGAAAAGGNGAAAUCCGCUAAUAGAUGGGCUCGCGUCCGAUUAGCUAGUUGGUGGGGUAAAAGGCCUACCAAGGCAACGAUCGGUAGCCGAGCUGAGAGGCUCUACGGCCACAUUGGGACUGAGAUACGGCCCAGACUCCUACGGGAGGCAGCAGUCGGGAAUAUUGCGCAAUGGAGGAAACUCUGACGCAGUGACGCCGCGAUAGGAAGAAGGUUUUAGGAUUGUAAACUAUUUUUAGGACAGGGAAGAAAUUGACUGUACCUGCAGAU
rnacentral:rRNA from 1 species